rnacentral:rRNA from 1 species
GGGUUGUGAGGUUAAGCGACUAAGCGUACACGGUGGAUGCCCUGGCAGUCAGAGGCGAUGAAGGGCGUGCUAAUCUGCGAUAAGCGCCGGUAAGGUGAUAUGAACCGUUAUAACCGGCGAUACCCGAAUGGGGAAACCCAGUGUGACUCGUCACACUAUCAUUAACUGAAUCCAUAGGUUAAUGAGGCGAACCGGGGGAACUGAAACAUCUAAGUACCCCGAGGAAAAGAAAUCAACCGAGAUUCCCCCAGUAGCGGCGAGCGAACGGGGAGGAGCCCAGAGCCUGAAUCAGCAUGUGUGUUAGUGGAAGCGUCUGGAAAGGCGCGCGAUACAGGGUGACAGCCCCGUACACAAAAGCGCAUGUGCUGUGAGCUCGAUGAGUAGGGCGGGACACGUGGUAUCCUGUCUGAAUAUGGGGGGACCAUCCUCCAAGGCUAAAUACUCCUGACUGACCGAUAGUGAACCAGUACCGUGAGGGAAAGGCGAAAAGAACCCCGGCGAGGGGAGUGAAAAAGAACCUGAAACCGUGUACGUACAAGCAGUGGGAGCACAGGUUUACCUGUGUGACUGCGUACCUUUUGUAUAAUGGGUCAGCGACUUAUAUUCUGUAGCAAGGUUAACCGAAUAGGGGAGCCGGAGGGAAACCGAGUCUUAAUUGGGCGUUAAGUUGCAGGGUAUAGACCCGAAACCCGGUGAUCUAGCCAUGGGCAGGUUGAAGGUUGGGUAACACUAACUGGAGGACCGAACCGACUAAUGUUGAAAAAUUAGCGGAUGACCUGUGGCUGGGGGUGAAAGGCCAAUCAAACCGGGAGAUAGCUGGUUCUCCCCGAAAGCUAUUUAGGUAGCGCCUCGUGAAUUCAUCUCCGGGGGUAGAGCACUGUUUCGGCUAGGGGGCCAUCCCGGCUUACCAACCCGAUGCAAACUGCGAAUACCGGAGAAUGUUAUCACGGGAGACACACGGCGGGUGCUAACGUCCGUCGUGAAGAGGGAAACAACCCAGACCGCCAGCUAAGGUCCCAAAGUCAUGGUUAAGUGGGAAACGAUGUGGGAAGGCCCAGACAGCCAGGAUGUUGGCUUAGAAGCAGCCAUCAUUUAAAGAAAGCGUAAUAGCUCACUGGUCGAGUCGGCCUGCGCGGAAGAUGUAACGGGGCUAAACCAUGCACCGAAGCUGCGGCAGCGACACUGUGUGUUGUUGGGUAGGGGAGCGUUCUGUAAGCCUGUGAAGGUGUGUCGUGAGGCAUGCUGGAGGUAUCAGAAGUGCGAAUGCUGACAUAAGUAACGAUAAAGCGGGUGAAAAGCCCGCUCGCCGGAAGACCAAGGGUUCCUGUCCAACGUUAAUCGGGGCAGGGUGAGUCGACCCCUAAGGCGAGGCCGAAAGGCGUAGUCGAUGGGAAACAGGUUAAUAUUCCUGUACUUGGUGUUACUGCGAAGGGGGGACGGAGAAGGCUAUGUUGGCCGGGCGACGGUUGUCCCGGUUUAAGCGUGUAGGUGUGUGUUCCAGGUAAAUCCGGUUCACUUUAACACUGAGGCGUGAUGACGAGGCACUACGGUGCUGAAGCAACAAAUGCCCUGCUUCCAGGAAAAGCCUCUAAGCAUCAGGUAACAUCAAAUCGUACCCCAAACCGACACAGGUGGUCAGGUAGAGAAUACCAAGGCGCUUGAGAGAACUCGGGUGAAGGAACUAGGCAAAAUGGUGCCGUAACUUCGGGAGAAGGCACGCUGACACGUAGGUGAAGUGAUUUACUCAUGGAGCUGAAGUCAGUCGAAGAUACCAGCUGGCUGCAACUGUUUAUUAAAAACACAGCACUGUGCAAACACGAAAGUGGACGUAUACGGUGUGACGCCUGCCCGGUGCCGGAAGGUUAAUUGAUGGGGUCAGCGCAAGCGAAGCUCCUGAUCGAAGCCCCGGUAAACGGCGGCCGUAACUAUAACGGUCCUAAGGUAGCGAAAUUCCUUGUCGGGUAAGUUCCGACCUGCACGAAUGGCGUAAUGAUGGCCAGGCUGUCUCCACCCGAGACUCAGUGAAAUUGAACUCGCUGUGAAGAUGCAGUGUACCCGCGGCAAGACGGAAAGACCCCGUGAACCUUUACUAUAGCUUGACACUGAACAUUGAGCCUUGAUGUGUAGGAUAGGUGGGAGGCUUUGAAGUGUGGACGCCAGUCUGCAUGGAGCCGACCUUGAAAUACCACCCUUUAAUGUUUGAUGUUCUAACGUGGACCCGUAAUCCGGGUUGCGGACAGUGUCUGGUGGGUAGUUUGACUGGGGCGGUCUCCUCCUAAAGAGUAACGGAGGAGCACGAAGGUUGGCUAAUCCUGGUCGGACAUCAGGAGGUUAGUGCAAUGGCAUAAGCCAGCUUGACUGCGAGCGUGACGGCGCGAGCAGGUGCGAAAGCAGGUCAUAGUGAUCCGGUGGUUCUGAAUGGAAGGGCCAUCGCUCAACGGAUAAAAGGUACUCCGGGGAUAACAGGCUGAUACCGCCCAAGAGUUCAUAUCGACGGCGGUGUUUGGCACCUCGAUGUCGGCUCAUCACAUCCUGGGGCUGAAGUAGGUCCCAAGGGUAUGGCUGUUCGCCAUUUAAAGUGGUACGCGAGCUGGGUUUAGAACGUCGUGAGACAGUUCGGUCCCUAUCUGCCGUGGGCGCUGGAGAACUGAGGGGGGCUGCUCCUAGUACGAGAGGACCGGAGUGGACGCAUCACUGGUGUUCGGGUUGUCAUGCCAAUGGCACUGCCCGGUAGCUAAAUGCGGAAGAGAUAAGUGCUGAAAGCAUCUAAGCACGAAACUUGCCCCGAGAUGAGUUCUCCCUGAGACUUUAAGUCUCCUGAAGGAACGUUGAAGACGACGACGUUGAUAGGCCGGGUGUGUAAGCGCAGCGAUGCGUUGAGCUAACCGGUACUAAUGAACCGUGAGGCUUAACCUUACAACGCCGAAG